AGGGAGACCUAACCGAACAGAGAAACAACAGCCAACAGGAGAAAACAAAUCCUCAGCGCUGAAAUCUCGAAUCGGUUCAUCCCCAGGUCGAGCGAGGGGAAGAAUAACUUUCAAACUAUUAACGGUUCGGAGGAUGGGCUAUUAGCUCAGGUGGUUAGAGCGCACCCCUGAUAAGGGUGAGGUCCCUGGUUCGAGUCCAGGAUAGCCCACCUUAAACCGAAAACCAGUAGGGAAAAACAGUAGGAAAAAAAACUAGUAGGAAAGAGCCCUAGCAUCUGGAUGGGGGCAAAGGCAACCCAACAGAAUGCUGGAUAUCUCAUCCAGCUUCAGAACCUUGAAAACUGCAUAGCCAUUCGUCAAAACCAAAAUCAAGCCAAAGCUCAAUACGGUCAAGCAAAUAAGGC
rnacentral:tRNA from 1 species